GCAGGGGUGAGGAGGUGAUGUCACCGCAUCCGGCGCCCAAGUGCCCGGAGCUGGAGCGGAGAAUCCGGGACUUCCCAGGAGAGAACAGUCUCCAGGGGGCCGUGACGGGAUUCCUGGGGGCGCUGGCUGUGGAGAGAGGAUUCAGGCGAGCCCGAGAAUUCGCAGGUAACUGGCCUUGCUCUGGUGUCGGUGACGCCAUCUC